ensembl:lincRNA
UCCCCAGGGUGUGGUAUAAGACUUGACCUUUAGAAGCUCUCCAUAAAUGUUUAAUUAUUGAAUUAAAUCUCUGUUGGGUUCAGGGUUUGCAACUUGAAUAAGCAAAUAGUAACUCUGGGAAGGCAUUAUGAAUAAUAGAGAGCCAAAUUAAAUUUAAAGAAUAAUUCAGCUAAUUAAAUAUUUGGUUCCCUUAGGUUUUCUAAACACUGAAGGGUUUCAAUAGACACAGUACAAUCAAAAUGAUCCAUUUUUCACCUAAGCGAAAUAUGCCUUCAUUCAAUAUAGUGCUGUUCUUACACAGAACGGACCCCUUAGUUGUUGGAUGUCAAAUUAGUUUCAGGACAUUCUUGUAGUCAAGCAUAAAAGCAGGCUACGACAGUGGAGUCUGUGUACAAAUUCCUCUUGAAUUAAUUUCUGCCACCCCUGAUUAAAAUGCCGGCUCCUAGAGGGUCAGGUGCCAUAGUUCUGUACUUCGCUUUACUGCUGGCCUGCUUGGCCCCUGCCACAGUAAAUUCUGCAGUGGUUGUGUAGGAAUUGCAGGUUACAGUUGCUACGGUUACCGUCUUCCAGCCAGGUCGCCAUCAUUACUCAUCCAGCCAGCUUCCGUGAUAGCUACCGCUGGUUUCUGUGACGGAGGCUGUUGAAGAGCCUCGCGCGCUGAGGAUGAAAGUUCUUCAGGAGGUGGCGCGUCUGUGUUACAACUCUCAGGGAAACACUGUGUGCAUUGUGUAGUGAUACUUCAGCAGGGGGAAAGAUUAACUCUUUAUCUGUGAGAACAAAGAACCAGGCUUCUCCAAGCAUCCGCAUUGCAGUUAGACUAAAGUGGCAUUGUUUUCUACGCUACCUGUUAUCCAUAACCAAGUUCACUGCCACCACUGAGUUAUUUAUGGAGGAUAUCCUUAAAUAUUUUGACAAAUUGUGAUAUAAGAAAUCUUUGGAGAGAAGUUACAACAUGAACUAAAUCCUAGAGAAGGACAGAAUGAAAAAGAAACAGACCUGACUGUAAUGUCAGCCCCAGUCUGGAGGAGGCCUCUGUGGCACCGGUGAAAUGUUGGGAGAACAUCUGCAUCUCUUGAAGUGACCCCGAGUGAAAGUUUAUGGCUGAGUAUGGUGACUUGAUUUCAGUGUUUCAGAAAAAGAGAGGGGAAACUUAAAGGAGAAAUAAAUACAUCUGGAAAGAGAAUGGGAAAAGAUAGCUUUGCCCUGUCAUGAUAGGUUUCUUCUACUAGUGAGAGAUGAAAGCUUGGAGCCUGUGAAUAGCUGAGAACAGCACUGAAAAAGGUUGAUCGCUUCCCCCCAACAGUUCCAAUUGAUUCAAAAAAGCCUAAUUUAAAGUUCUGUUUGUUCUAUGUCUUAAACCAUCAGAAUUCUCUUUUAGGGCCAGAGGAAUGCUCCGGAGGAAAAAGAAUCCAAGGAUAAAAAGUCAUUGCAAGCCAACAAUUGUUCCUAAUCCUCACAAAAUGCUGGAGAAAUUAAAUUUAUUCUUUAUUGCUCAAAGUGUUACCUAGGUCACUGGGCGAUGGGAAAAUUGGACUGGAAGUCGAGUAGGCGC